rnacentral:misc_RNA from 1 species
AACGCACCUUGCACCCUUUGGUAUUCCGAAGGGUAUGCUCGUUUGAGUGUCAUUGUACUCUCACACUUCUAAUUCGUUUUGGAUUAGGAGCGGUGGACUUGGGUGUUGCUGCUUUAGUUGUGGCUCACCUCAAAUGAGUUAGUACAACUCUUGGUUGGACAUAGUACGGCGUGAUAAGUGUCUUCGCCGGCGCCUCCUCACAAGGAGGGUGGCCGAUCGGGAGCUCUGUGCUUCAAACCGUCUUCGGACAAUCUCUGACAACUUGACCUCAAAUCGAGUAGGACUACCCGCUGAACUUAA